GCGAGUGAAGCGGCAACAGCUCAAAUUUGAAAGCUGGCUCCGGCCCGCGUUGUAAUUUGCAGAGGAUGCUUCUGGUGAGGUGCCUUCCGAGUUCCCUGGAACGGGACGCCAUAGAGGGUGAGAGCCCCGUAUGGAUGGACACCAAACCUGUGUGAAGCUCCUUCAACGAGUCGAGUAGUUUGGGAAUGCUGCUCUAAAUGGGAGGUAAAUCUCUUCUAAAGCUAAAUACCGGCCAGAGACCGAUAGCGCACAAGUAGAGUGAUCGAAAGAUGAAAAGCACCUUGAAAAGGGGGUUAAACAGUACGUGAAAUUGUUGAAAGGGAAGCGCUUGUGACCAGACUUGCGCCGGGCGGCUCAUCAGGGGUUCUCCCCUGUGCACUCCGCCCGGCUCAGGCCAGCAUCGGUUCUCGUGGGAGGAUAAGAACAGUGGGAACGUGGCCCCCCUCCGGGGGGGUGUUAUAGCCCAUUGUACGAUACUCUCGUGGGGACCGAGGUUCGCGCUCCGCAAGGAUGCUGGC
rnacentral:rRNA from 1 species